rnacentral:lncRNA from 1 species
GUUAGGUAACCGCGGUGGCCACCAUCCAGAAAGAGCUGACGACAGCGACUGAUUUAUCGGAACUUCUCUGGAAGCCUGUCUUAAAGUUCUAUUUCUCUGAACCAAUGGAGCAACUACCUCAUCUCCUAUCCUCUGACCCAGUUUGUGGGGUUGUAUUCUGACCUUCAGCUUCCCAGACACCAACAAAGUAAUCUUGGAUACAUUCCGCUCACCACCACAGAGCCUUGGGCUCAUGUGACCUGUGUUCCCUGCUGGGCCUGCUUUCUGAGUGCUAAGAUUGACCUUAUAGUCCCCUGAACCUCCUGUGCCCUGUUGCCUACCUGGACAUUGCUUGAGUCAGAUCCCAGAUGCUUUCCACCUGAGCUUGAAA